rnacentral:rRNA from 1 species
ACGGAAGGCAGCAGUGGGGAAUAUUGCACAAUGGGGGAAACCCUGAUGCAGCAACGCCACAUGUGGGAAGAAGCAUUUCGGUGUGUAAACCACUGUCGUGAGGGAAUAAUGCUUAAUUACGGUUAAGUUGAAUGUACCUCGAAAGGAAGCACCGGCAAACUUCGUGCCAGCAGCCGCGGUAAUACGAGGGGUGCAAGCGUUGUUCGGAAUCACUGGGCGUAAAGGGAGCGCAGGCGGAGAUGCAAGCAGUCUGUACAAUGCCGGGGCCCAACCCCGGACCUGCAGUCUGGACUGUUUCUCUUGGAUAGUUCAGAGGCAAGCGGAAUUCCUGGUGUAGCGGUGGAAUGCGUAGAGAUCAGGAAGAACACCGAUGGCGAAGGCAGCUUGCUGGGGAGUUAUCGACGCUCAUGCUCGAAAGUGCGGGUAGCAAACAGGAUUAGAUACCCUGGUA